GUUGCAGACGGUGGGCUAAUGUUAAACAAUUCUGUACAGAACUAAUGCAAGAAGUGCUCCCUUCAUCUCCUACCAAUUUGAAGGAAGAACUUAACUCGUCUCUGGUGCAAAAUGCUGAUGUAGCCAAUGAAGAUUGGAACACAAGUGUUGAUAAAGAACGCAUUAAGAACUGAUCCAUGCCUCUUCUGUUGAAUAUGUUGAGGAUACACAUUUGGGUUUAUCUUCAGAGAAUGAGUGUGCCUUGGCUUAAGCCUGCGAGAAUGAAGCUCAGAAAAUUGAUACUACUCUAGAUGAUGCCUUAUUAGAAUCAAAGGAAGAGGCUAGCAAUAAAUCUGUUCUGAAAUUGGAACUAGAAGCUGUUCCAGUUCCAUUUUUAAUAAACUAAAGCUUGAAGAAAGUUGCAUUAGUUGACGGUAGUGAGCUCCGUUCUCUUUCUAAUGAAUUACGAGAACGCCAAUCAUUCAAGAUGAAGUUUCGGGAUGCGUUUUCUUCGAGUCGAGGUUACCGAAGCCAUACAAUGAACAGCAUCCAGGAUCUAGCAAGGAGAAAAGAAACAGCCUUGAACUAUUCAAUGAUACCACCAAGUCAUAAUCACAAGAGAUGGGAUUUUGUGAAUCGGAUUGGGAGAUUAUUUAGAUAAAACUAAAAUGGUUUUGAGAACAAACACAGACAAAGGUUAUCAAUUCACGAGACUAGAAUUUCAAUGGAGAGAAUUAGGCAGUGAGUAAGCUUGAUGGAAAAUUGUUUUCCCUCUAAAUUGCAGCAUUUGCU